CCCUUGCCUCAAAUCUUGCUCUGUUUCUAAGUACUGGUGCCGCAGGAGAAAUUCUUUUUGAUUUGAAUUAUACAAAACUCCUGCAGCUCAAGUGCUUAUCAAUGGACAAGGCUUUCAUCUUUCAUCCU
rnacentral:pre_miRNA from 19 species